GACGAACGCUGGCGGCGUGCUUAACACAUGCAAGUCGAACGGAAAGGCCCUGCUUUUGUGGGGUGCUCGAGUGGCGAACGGGUGAGUAACACGUGAGAAGCCUGCCCUUGACUUUGGGAUAACUUCAGGAAACUGGGGCUAAUACCGGAUAGGAGCUCCUGCUGCAUGGUGGGGGUUGGAAAGUUUCGGCGGUUGGGGAUGGACUCGCGGCUUAUCAGCUUGUUGGUGGGGUAGUGGCUUACCAAGGCUUUGACGGGUAGCCGGCCUGAGAGGGUGACCGGCCACAUUGGGACUGAGAUACGGCCCAGACUCCUACGGGAGGCAGCAGUGGGGAAUAUUGCACAAUGGGCGGAAGCCUGAUGCAGCAACGCCGCGUGCGGGAUGACGGCCUUCGGGUUGUAAACCGCUUUCGCCUGUGACGAAGCGUGAGUGACGGUAAUGGGUAAAGAAGCACCGGCUAACUACGUG
rnacentral:rRNA from 1 species